AGCGAACGCUGGCGGCAGGCCUAACACAUGCAAGUCGAACGAACUCUUCGGAGUUAGUGGCGGACGGGUGAGUAACACGUGGGAACGUGCCUUUUGGUUCGGAAUAACUCAGGGAAACUUGUGCUAAUACCGAAUGUGCCCUUCGGGGAAAGAUUUAUCGCCAUUAGAGCGGCCCGCGUCUGAUUAGCUAGUUGGUGAGG
rnacentral:rRNA from 1 species